GGAGGAUGCGAGCGUUAUCCGGAUUUAUUGGGUUUAAAGGGAGCGCAGACGGGUCGUUAAGUCAGCUGUGAAAGUUUGGGGCUCAACCUUAAAAUUGCAACUGACACUGAUGCUCGAAAGUGUGGGUAUCAAACAGGAUUAGAUACCCUGGUAGUCCACACNGUAAACGAUGNAUACUCGCUGUUUGCGAUAUACNGUNAGCGGCCAAGCGAAAGCAUUAAGUAUNCCACCUGGGGAGU
rnacentral:rRNA from 1 species